rnacentral:rRNA from 1 species
ACAGGUGCUGCAUGGCUGUCGUCAGCUCGUGUUGUGAAAUGUUGGGUUAAGUCCCGCAACGAGCGCAACCCUUAUCCUUUGUUGCCAGCGGUUAGGCCGGGAACUCAAAGGAGACUGCCAGUGAUAAACUGGAGGAAGGUGGGGAUGACGUCAAGUCAUCAUGGCCCUUACGACCAGGGCUACACACGUGCUACAAUGGCGCAUACAAAGAGAAGCNACCUCGCGAGAGCAAGCNGACCUCAUAAAGUGCGUCGUAGUCCGGAUUGGAGUCUGCNACUCGACUCCAUGAAGUCGGAAUCGCUAGUAAUCGUGAAUCAGAAUGUCACGGUGAAUACNUUCCCGGGUCUUGU